rnacentral:misc_RNA from 1 species
GUAAAAUCAUCUUUUGGAGAACAUAAAAUAUGUAUCAAUAAAGUCAUUUUAUCAACAUAAAUAUGUAGAAACAUUUAAUAGUUUAAUACUAGUUGUGCACAAACCUAUUUAUUUCCAAUUUAGGUGAAUUUGGUUCCUAAGUCAACACUUCUACCUUGCUCCUUUGGAACUACUGUCAUAUAAAAAACUACAGACAGUUCAGAAUAAAUUCAUUGAUUAUUUUUAAUAAGC